rnacentral:rRNA from 1 species
UGGGGAAUCUUGCGCAAUGGGCGAAAGCCUGACGCAGCAACGCCGCGUGGGGGAUGAAGGCCCUCGGGUUGUAAACCCCUUUCAGCAGGGAAGAAACCAGACGGUACCUGCAGAAGAAGCCCCGGCUAACUACGUGCCAGCAGCCGCGGUAAUACGUAGGGGGCGAGCGUUGUCCGGAUUAAUUGGGCGUAAAGAGCUCGUAGGCGGCUCAGUAAGUCGGGUGUGAAAGCCCCGAGCUCAACUCGGGGAGGCCACUCGAUACUGCUGUGGCUAGAGUCCGGUAGGGGAGCGUGGAAUUCCCGGUGUAGCGGUGAAAUGCGCAGAUAUCGGGAGGAACACCAGCGGCGAAGGCGGCGCUCUGGGCCGGAACUGACGCUGAGGAGCGAAAGCGUGGGGAGCGAACAGG